UGGGGGAUACAUGAGGACCAAGACUAGAGGCAGAGGAGUGUUGAGAACAUCAUCAGAAGUGGGCAGAGAUACACUGGAAGUUAUGAUAUCAGAUGGACCCAGAAAAUCAGCGACAUAGGCAGGUAACGCCUGACUUAAAGGAUGCAUUCCAGGAUUAAAUUGCUUUUCUAGGACUAUAACAACAGAUCAUGAUGAGCUCCCAAGCAAACUAUUACAGGCUUAACACACACUACCCACUUUAGCAGACAUCCCCCUACUGGGGUUCUGCUCCUCUGUUAUGAUUACUCUACAAGUUUAACUCUACAAAAGAAAAAGUGCUGCAUGCACAGACACAGAUAGAGACCGACCACCAUCUCCUUGGAUCUGCCUGGAGCAAUGAGUCUGUCUUCAUCCAGACGCAUCAUCUGACUGAAGACUCCUGAGACAAUGAGAUGAGAGCUGAGACCCACAGAUGACAGCUGAAACCCACAGAUAACAGCUGAGACCCACAUAUGACAUCCAAGACCCACAGGUGACAGCUGAGACCAACACAUGAUAGCUGAGACCCACAGAUGACAGACUUGGAACCUUCCAGAAACAGAUGAACUCUCUUGCCCAAACCAAAUGACUACUAACCUACAUGAUGUCUAUAUAAAUUAAUCAAAUGUUGUUAAAAACUGAUGUUAGUUACUACCCUCACAAACUGUACAAUCUGCUGAACAAAUAAUUGGUCCAAUAAUCCCUUGUCUCCCUAGCACCCACCCCUUGUUGCCCUUCUGGCUCCUGUUGUGAUACCCCUCUGGCCUAUGUUGUGUUUUAGUUUAAUGCUUCAACCCGACCCAAUUAGUUAAUUAAUUAAUUCCCCACUUAAAAUACCUUUGGUGGAGAUAUGGAGAUUCAAUAUAGUUAUGGCAUGCCAUGAAUGUUUUCAUGUAUGUGUCUCUUGUGAAGUGAACAAAUUAAACAAAGUGGCAUAACAGA